rnacentral:other from 1 species
AGAGCCCUGCAAUGUACGUGAAUGCCCGAUUGUUUUGUACCAACAGAGUUAUUACGGGAGAUCGGAGUUCCGGUAAGGCACAGAUGCCGCCACCAAGUAGCGGACCUGCAAGCUACCGGGUAGAUUGCCCACCUGCGCGAGCAGGUUCAAAACACCGGCGCACGGCAUUUUGGGGCUCUU